UUUGUCCUUUGACGUGUGCAUUCUCACAAACACAUUCUACGGCAACACUGUUCGGUCUUCCAGUAACACAGAAUCGGACACACACUAUCGUACGAAAGCAGAUUCAACAUGGCAAAGAUCAAAGGCUUUCUGCAGUGUGCGCUCAUUACGGCAUGCGUGGGAACAUUAUUGCUUCUUCUUGUAUUUGAUAGGAUCGUCUUCAAUCCAACCUCCAAGGUAGAAAAAAGUGUCUCAGACUUGGAUUCAAAUCGUCACGAAG